rnacentral:rRNA from 1 species
AACGAACGCUGGCGGCGUGCUUAACACAUGCAAGUCGAACGGAGUUAUAUUAUGUAGCAAUACAUGAUAUAACUUAGUGGCGGACGGGUGAGUAACACGUAGGUAACCAACCCUAAAGCGGGGGACAACCCAGGGAAACUUGGGCUAAUACCGCAUAAGACCACGGACUGGGAGGUUUGUGGUAAAAGUAGCAAUACACUUUAGGCUGGGCCUGCGGCCUAUCAGGUAGUUGGUAAGGUAAUGGCUUACCAAGCCUAAGACGGGUAGCCGGACUGAGAGGUUGAACGGCCACACUGGAACUGAGAUACGGUCCAGACUCCUACGGGUGGCAG